rnacentral:rRNA from 1 species
UACGAGGGAGCUAGACGUGUUGGAUCGAUCUGGGCGUAAAGAGCGCGCAGGCGGUCGUUCAAGUCGCGUGUGAAAGCCCCCGGCUCAACUGGGGAGGGUCAUGCGAUACUGAUCGACUCGAAGGCAGGAGAGGGAAGUGGAAUUCCCGGUGUAGUGGUGAAAUGCGUAGAGAUCCGGAAGAACACCGGUGGCGAAGGCGGUCUGCUGGGCAGUUGCUGACACUGAGGCGCGACAGCGUGGGGAGCAAACAGG